CUGAAAUCCACUUGAAACAAUUAAGCUAAUGAUUUUCUUUUAGCUUAAUGGCUUUUUUUUUUAGUUAAACAAAAUAGUAUAGAUUUUAGAAAUCUGCCGUGUAUCAGCUAUAAUGUUAAAACCAGCCAUAAUUGUAAUAUCAGUGCAUUCCUAAUUGACAUACUGCAAUAAUCAGCACAUUAUGUAAUUGAUUUGAUUAAAUUUUGAAUUGAUUGUCAACCUUUUUUAUAAAGAACUUCUUUCUUGUCAUUAUUCCUCUUCUCUUUCAUCGUCUUCUCUUCCUGAACUUCCCGGCGCAGGCCUGGAGGCCCUGUGUGCAGGAGUGAAGGACGGAGAAAGCGCAUGGGAGAGUAAAGCAAGGGAACAGAGAGGGGAGAGAGGAGACAGCGGAGGGGAACAUCCUUUGUUCUCAUCACGCAGAAGCAAAUGCAAAGCUUUGACGUUGGCGUUCAGGACAUCUGCUGGAUCACAUAAGGUCUACAUUGGCUCUCGUCUUAGACAUUGAGGGAGAGUCCUGCAGUCCAUCACAACGAGACGCUAUCUCCCAUCUAUCUGGCUAAUGAGCGGGAGGGAAGAACCUGCUGGAGGACUUGUUGAUAUUUGUCCUUCUCCGACUGGCUUUCUGAGAGUUUGUGAUUAGCGCACGGCAUGUUCGCUAGCUUUUGAAGCUCCAGGAACGAUAAGGAGAUUCUGGAGUUUGGGCUCCUCGGUCAUAAAACAAAGCCAUCGUAUGUUGCUCGUACGGAACAGUAAACAUUCAGUUCGGGAAACUUACAAAGUGACCUUGUCCUUUAAUGCUUUGAAGUUGAAUACAGCUGGAAAGAAAUUAAAAAGGACGCAGAUUAAAAAGUGAAACAGCUUUAUAUAUGUGUAUCUGACAGUAGAUGGGCUGUAGCUAUUAUUAUUAAUAAUCAGGGGCGCCGCUAUGAUUUCCAGGCCCCCUGAACAUCAUUGACUCGGGGCCCCGCAACGAUCGCUUUCUGGGGG
ensembl:lncRNA